GGGGGAAUAUUGGACAAUGGGGGGAACCCUGAUCCAGCCAUGCCGCGUGUGUGAAGAAGGUCUUAGGAUUGUAAAGCACUUUAAGUUGGGAGGAAGAGCAGUUAACUAAUAUUUGACUGUUUUGACGUUACCGACAGAAUAAGCACCGGCUAACUUCGUGCCAGCAGCCGCGGUAAUACGAAGGGUGCAAGCGUUAAUCGGAAUUACUGGGCGUAAAGCGCGCGUAGGUGGUUCAGUAAGUUAGGAGUGAAAGCCCCGGGCUUAACCUGGGAAUUGCUUCUAAAACUGCUGAGCUAGAGUACGGUAGAGGGUGGUGGAAUUUCCUGUGUAGCGGUGAAAUGCGUAGAUAUAGGAAGGAACAUCAGUGGCGAAGGCGACCACCUAGACUGAUACUGACACU
rnacentral:rRNA from 1 species